ensembl:snRNA U6 U6 spliceosomal RNA
AUGAGUGUUCAGCAUCAUAUACACUAAAAUUGAAAUGAUACAGAAAAAAUUAUCGUGGCCCCUAAGCAAGGAUGACAUGCAAAUUUGUGCAGCAUUUUAUAUUCUU